rnacentral:lncRNA from 1 species
AUGAAAGUAAAACUUUCUGUGAACGUAGCUGCUUCUCGCCGGGUGCGGUGGCGCGUGCCUGUAAUCCAAGCUACCGGGAGGCUGAGGUUGGAGGAUCGUUUGAGCUCAGGAGCUCUGAGCUGCAGCAGGCUAUGUCGAUCGGGUGUCCGCACUAAGUUCGGCAUUGAUAUGGUGAUCCUGGGGGAGCCCGGGACCACCAGGUCGUCUAAGGAGGGGUGCCCAGGUCGGAGACGGAGCAGGUCAAAGCCCCCGUGUCGCUCAGUAGUGGGAUCACGCCUGUGAUUAGACGCUGUAGCGCAGCCUGAGCAAUACAGCGAGACCCAAUCUUUAUACACACCCUUAUACCUGUCACUACAUCACACAGCAUCCUCAUCAGCCCGUCUUUGUCUUUUUAAUUAACGUUAAACACGCUCACAAACCUGCUGCUCUGCUUGUCCUGCACCACCUCCACCUGCAGGACAGCUGCAAAUACAUCCUCCAUCCUAAACACUUCUGAUGCCCAGCAGGUGGAGACAAACUCAAACUAGGAAAUUCAUUCAGGUAACCUUUGGGUUUAAUAUUUGCAUCUUAUGAUCACAGCUUUGACUGUCAUGUAAAAAGGUAAUUUUUUUUUAGAAGUGAACUGUCCACAGCGGACAAGUCUGCACAUUUAGACAUUUACACAGUUACUGCGUGACUUCAGUACAGGCAUGAGUCAGGAUUUUGGGGUAAAGUAAAUGUUUUCUUUCUUCUGCACAUCAGCUGCGAUAACAGUCUAAAUAAUUGCAACUCCCCCAAGAAUGUAGAGAUGACAGCUGCACAACUAAGAGCUCUAUUUUUUUUUUUUUCAACUACUGUGCAAAUCAGCUGUUUCAUUCAAGAGUCAAAAGUGGGAUAAUAAGCCACACCCAGAAUGGUGACUGUGACUUGAAUGCAGCACCAUAGCCCGCCCGGGCAUCUUGACACCCCCUGCUAUACAGUUUUGUAACUUUAAUUAUUCCAAACAGCCGCCUAUGUAGUCUUAAUUGUUCAUAUCAUGCCCCACAUCAGUUAAAAAUGGUCAUAUAAACAUGUAAAUGGAAUUAUAGAAACUGUUGAAAAUUGGAGCGACAAAUAUGACAAUUACAAACAUUGUCAAAGUAACAAGCAUACUAACCUGAUCAGACUUCAAAAAAAGACACAGGAUGGCCAAGCGACCACAGGUGCUGUGUUUAGGCUGCAGUCUCUCCUGGAAUUGUGCGUUCAAAUCCCACUUCCUUCAGCCAGUUUACUGAAUGAAGAUGUUAUGCGCAGUC